AUGGUGUUGUUGGAGAGCGAGCAGUUCCUGACGGAGCUGACCAGACUUUUCCAGAAGUGCCGGACGUAGGGCAGCGUCUAUAUCACCUUGAAGAAGUAUGACGGCCAAACCAAACCCAUUCCAAAGAAAGGUACUGUGGAGGGCUUUGAGCCCGCAGACAACAAGUGUCUGUUAAGAGCUACCGAUGGGAAAAAGAAGAUCAGCACUGUGGUGAGCUCCAAGGAAGUGAAUAAGUUUCAGAUGGCUUAUUCAAACCUACUGAGAGCUAACAUGGAUGGGCUGAAGAAGAGAGACAAAAAGAACAAAACCAAGAAGACCAAAGCAGCUGCAGCAACAACAGCAACAACAGCAACACCAGCAGCAACAGCAGCAACAGCAGCACAGUAAAGGGCACAAAUUUCCUGCUUUCACCAAUUAACCACUGAAUUGCUAUUUUUUCCUUUUGGCCACAUAGCUAGGUUUCUGGUUCCCCCACAGUAGGUGUUUUCACAUAAGAUUAGGGUCCUUUUGGAAAGAACAGUUGCAGUGUUUAUAGGGUAGUUGUAAGAAUCUAGUUUAUUUUGCAUUUGGCUAAUUGGUCUGUGUUGCAUGGUUAUAUUCUCCUGGAUUAUAGAUUAAAAGUCUCUGUAGACAUCUCUGUGAAGAGCAAGCUAUCAUUAAACGUGUCUGUUUAUCAAAAAAA